GCUGGAAUCGCUAGUAAUCGCGGAUCAGAAUGCCGCGGUGAAUACGUUCCCGGGUCUUGUACACACCGCCCGUCACACCAUGGGAGUCGGAAAUGCCCGAAGUCUGUGACCCAACCUAAAGGAGGGAGCAGCCGAAGGCAGGUCGGAUGACUGGGGUGAAGUCGUAACAAGGUAAC
rnacentral:rRNA from 1 species